rnacentral:lncRNA from 1 species
UAUACAUGAUCAGUGUUCUCCCCAGGACGAUAUGACGCUGCGGUGCCGCAGCGCCUUCAUAAUAUUUUUGAAGAUCCCGCAGCGUCUUAAUUGUCCGCUGUCCCUUAAUACUUGAUCCCGCAGCGUGUUAAUUUUCACAAUUUCAUUAUAAAUGUUGGUUAAAAUUGUCUAGUUGCUGAUCACCGCUGAGAGGUCGGUCAGUGUUACGCAAUAACUGAUAAUUAGUUUUACCUGAGCCACGCUUAUCUCAGCCUUAUCGGACUAUGUUAUCAUGUAAUAGCGUAAAU